UAUACUUUAUAAAUUUUUUAAUUUUAAAAAUUACAAAUAUAACAAAUACUUUCAAUAUUAUAUUAAAUAUAGUAAUAGAAAUAAGUAUAAUAAUAAAAAGUAAAUAUAU
rnacentral:rRNA from 1 species